AGAGUUUGAUCAUGGCUCAGGAUGAACGCUAGCUACAGGCUUAACACAUGCAAGUCGAGGGGCAGCAUGAACUUAGCUUGCUAAGUUUGAUGGCGACCGGCGCACGGGUGAGUAACACGUAUCCAACCUGCCGAUGACUCGGGGAUAGCCUUUCGAAAGAAAGAUUAAUACCCGAUGGCAUAGUUCUUCCGCAUGGUAGAACUAUUAAAGAAUUUCGGUCAUCGAUGGGGAUGCGUUCCAUUAGGUUGUUGGCGGGUAACGGCCCACAAGCCUUCGAUGGAUAGGGGUUCUGGAGAGGAAGGUCCCCCANAUUGGAACUGAGACACGGUCCAAACUCCUACGGGAGCA
rnacentral:rRNA from 1 species